rnacentral:rRNA from 1 species
AUUGAACGCUGGCGGCAGGCCUAACACAUGCAAGUCGAGCGGAGCGGCGGACGGGUGAGUAAUUCCUAGGUAUCUGCCUGGUAGUGGGGGAUAACGUCCUGAAACGGGCGCUAAUACCGCAUACUAGCCAAUGAGCCUAGGUCGGAUUAUCUAGUUGGUGGGGUAGAGGCCUACCAAGGCGACGAUCCGUAACUGGUCUGAGUGGAUGAUCAGUCACACUGGAACUGAGACACGGUCCAGACUCCUACGGGAGGCAGCAGUGGGGAAUAUUGGACAAUGGGCGAAAGCCUGAUCCAGCCAUGCCGCGUGUGUGAAGAAGGUCUUCGGGUUGUAAAGCACUUUAAGUUGGGAGGCGUUACCAACAGAAGAAGCACCGGCUAACUUCGUGCCAGCAGCCGCGGUAAUUC